rnacentral:rRNA from 1 species
GUGAACGCUGGCGGUAGGCCUAACACAUGCCAGUCGCACGGCAGCACAGUAAGAGCUUGCUCUUACGGGUGGCGAGUGGCGGACGGGUGAGGAAUACAUCGGAAUCUACUUUUUCGUGGGGGAUAACGUAGGGAAACUUACGCUAAUACCGCAUACGACCUACGGGUGAAAGCAGGGGAUCUUCGGACCUUGCGCGGUUGAAUGAGCCGAUGUCGGAUUAGCUAGUUGGCGGGGUAAAGGCCCACCAAGGCGACGAUCCGUAGCUGGUCUGAGAGGAUGAUCAGCCACACUGGAACUGAGACACGGUCCAGACUCCUACGGGAGGCAGCAGUGGGGAAUAUUGGACAAUGGGCGCAAGCCUGAUCCAGCCAUACCGCGUGGGUGAAGAAGGCCUUCGGGUUGUAAAGCCCUUUUGUUGGGAAAGAAAAGCAGCAGGUUAAUACCCCGCUGUUCUGACGGUACCCAAAGAAUAAGCACCGGCUAACUUCGUG